rnacentral:tRNA from 1 species
GUUCUUGUAGUAAAAUUAUUACAAUGGUUCUUCAAGUCAUAGAUCUUGGUUAAAGUCCGAGCAGGAAUU